rnacentral:rRNA from 1 species
GAUGAACGCUAGCGGCAGGCUUAAUACAUGCAAGUCGAGGGGUAGCAAGAUUGUAGCAAUACAAUUGUUGACGACCGGCAAACGGGUGCGGAACACGUACACAACCUUCCUACAAGUGGGGAAUAGCACAGAGAAAUUUGGAUUAAUACCCCGUAACAUAGCGAUGUGGCAUCACAUUGCUAUUAUAGCUUCGGCGCUUGUUGAUGGGUGUGCGGCUGAUUAGAUAGUUGGCGGGGUAACGGCCCACCAAGUCUACGAUCAGUAGCUGAUGUGGGAGCAUGAUCAGCCACACGGGCACUGAGACACGGGCCCGAAUCCUACGGGAGGCAGCAGUAAGGAAUAUUGGACAAUGGACGCAAGUCUGAUCCAGCCAUGCCGCGUGAAGGAUUAAGGUCCUCUGGAUUGUAAACUUCUUUUAUAAGGGACGAAAAAAGGUCUUUCUAGAUCGUCUGACGGUACCUUAUGAAUAAGCACCGGCUAACUCCGUGCCAGCCGCCGCCGUAAUAC